AGUCAGGAGUGAAAGGCUACGGCUCAACCGUAGUAAGCUCUUGAAACUGGGAGGCUUGAGUGCAGGAGAGGAGAGUGGAAUUCCUAGUGUAGCGGUGAAAUGCGUAGAUAUUAGGAGGAACACCAGUUGCGAAGGCGGCUCUCUGGACUGUAACUGACGCUGAGGCACGAAAGCGUGGGGAGCAAACAGGAUUAGAUACCCUGGUAGUCCACGCUGUAAACGAUGAGUACUAGGUGUCGGGGGUUACCCCCCUCGGUGCCGCAGCUAACGCAUUAAGUACUCCGCCUGGGAAGUACGCUCGCAAGAGU
rnacentral:rRNA from 1 species